rnacentral:rRNA from 1 species
UACGAAGGGGGCUAGCGUUGCUCGGAAUCACUGGGCGUAAAGCGCACGUAGGCGGAUUGUUAAGUCAGGGGUGAAAUCCUGGAGCUCAACUCCAGAACUGCCUUUGAUACUGGCGAUCUUGAGUCCGGGAGAGGUGAGUGGAACUCCGAGUGUAGAGGUGAAAUUCGUAGAUAUUCGCAAGAACACCAGUGGCGAAGGCGGCUCACUGGCCCGAUACUGACGCUGAGGCACGAAAGCGUGGGGAGCGAACAGG